rnacentral:misc_RNA from 1 species
AGUACCUUCAGUCCUAAAUCCUGUUGCAAUUUUAUAACCCCUCUACCUAAUUUAUUGCCAAUAACUUAAUGCAAUAAAUGCCAACAUACUAUAUCUUGGGGAAGAAGUUUUCCACAAAAAACUUGAAAACAGUUCACAGCAACUAUUUCAAGAAAGGAAUUGAACUUUGUAUGUGUUUUCUAUCUCUUUUAGUAUGAUAUUUGCAUUUUUUUGAAAACCCAGCAUCAUUUUUACAAAUUUGCCACUUGGUAUUACAUACAAUUCUUAAAAGCAAGAGAGUAAUAGUCACAAAAUCUUAUGACCUACUUAAAAUUGAAAU